rnacentral:rRNA from 1 species
GACGAACGCUGGCGGCGUGCCUAAUACAUGCAAGUCGAGCGAGCGGAACUAACAGAUUUACUUCGGUAAUGACGUUAGGAAAGCGAGCGGCGGAUGGGUGAGUAACACGUGGGGAACCUGCCCCAUAGUCUGGGAUACCACUUGGAAACAGGUGCUAAUACCGGAUAAGAAAGCAGAUCGCAUGAUCAGCUUUUAAAAGGCGGCGUAAGCUGUCGCUAUGGGAUGGCCCCGCGGUGCAUUAGCUAGUUGGUAAGGUAAAGGCUUACCAAGGCGAUGAUGCAUAGCCGAGUUGAGAGACUGAUCGGCCACAUUGGGACUGAGACACGGCCCAAACUCCUACGGGAGGCAGCAGUAGGGAAUCUUCCACAAUGGACGCAAGUCUGAUGGAGCAACGCCGCGUGAGUGAAGAAGGUUUUCGGAUCGUAAAGCUCUGUUGUUGGUGAAGAAGGAUAGAGGUAGUAACUGGCCGUUAUUUGACGGUAAUCAACCAGAAAGUCACGGCUAACUACGUG